CCUACGGGAGGCAGCAGUAGGGAAUCUUGCGCAAUGGGCGAAAGCCUGACGCAGCAACGCCGCGUGGGGGGUGAAUGCCUUCGGGUUGUAAACCCCUUUCAGCAGGGACGAAAAUGACGGUACCUGCAGAAGAAGCUCCGGCCAACUACGUGCCAGCAGCCGCGGUAAUACGUAGGGAGCGAGCGUUGUCCGGAAUUAUUGGGCGUAAAGAGCUCGUAGGCGGUUCAGUAAGUCGGGUGUGAAAACUCAAGGCUCAACCUUGAGACGCCACUCGAUACUGCUGUGACUUGAGUCCGGUAGAGGAGUGUGGAAUUCCUGGUGUAGCGGUGAAAUGCGCAGAUAUCAGGAGGAACACCAGCGGCGAAGGCGGCACUCUGGGCCGGUACUGACGCUGAGGAGCGAAAGCAUGGGGAGCAAACAGAAUUAGAUACCCUGGUAGUCCAUGCCGUAAACGUUGGGCACUAGGUAUGGGAUCAUAUCAACGGAUUCCGUGCCGUAGCUAACGCAUUAAGUGCCCCGCCUGGGGAGUACGGCCGCAAGGCUAAAACUCAAAGGAAUUGACGG
rnacentral:rRNA from 1 species